ACACGACGCUUUUCCAAUAUCUUAAACUUAGUAUGACAAAAAAUGGAGUUGAAGCUCGCUGAACUUUUGGGCAGAGUAACGUUGUAUGAAAGUUUUAAUGCAAAAGGCUAAAGUAUUUUACCGCGAGACUGUACCGGAACUAGAUGACGAAUCUGGAGGUAGAAAACAAGAGAGCGAUCGAGUGAUCGGUCGCCCUUUUUAU